AGUGGGGGAUAACGUAGCGAAAGUUACGCUAAUACCGCAUAUUCUGUGAGCAGGAAAGAGGGGGAUCGCAAGACCUCUUGCUUUCGGAGCGGCCGAUGUCGGAUUAGCUAGUUGGUGGGGUAAAGGCCUACCAAGGCGACGAUCCGUAGCGGGUCUGAGAGGAUGAUCCGCCACACUGGGACUGAGACACGGCCCAGACUCCUACGGGAGGCAGCAGUGGGGAAUUUUGGACAAUGGGCGCAAGCCUGAUCCAGCCAUGCCGCGUGAGUGAAGAAGGCCUUCGGGUUGUAAAGCUCUUUCGGCGGGGAAGAAAUCGCUUGGAUUAAUACUCUGAGUGGAUGACGGUACCCGAAUAAGAAGCACCGGCUAACUACGUGCCAGCAGCCGCGGUAAUACGUAGGGUGCGAGCGUUAAUCGGAAUUACUGGGCGUAAAGCGUGCGCAGGCGGUUGUGCAAGACAGGCGUGAAAUCCCCGGGCUUAACCUGGGAAUGGCGCUUGUGACUGCACGGCUAGAGUACGGCAGAGGGGGGUGGAAUUCCA
rnacentral:rRNA from 1 species